rnacentral:rRNA from 1 species
UAAAAUCUUAGUGGCGGACGGGUGAGUAACGCGUGGGUAACCUGCCUUACACUGGGGGAUAAUACUUAGAAAUAGGUGCUAAUACCGCAUAAGCGCACGAAGCCGCAUGGAUUUGUGUGAAAAACUCCGGUGGUGUAAGAUGGACCCGCGUCUGAUUAGCUUGUUGGCGGGGUAACGGCCCACCAAGGCGACGAUCAGUAGCCGGCCUGAGAGGGUGGACGGCCACAUUGGGACUGAGACACGGCCCAAACUCCUACGGAAGGCAGCAG